UAACGCGGCGGAAUGCUUUACACAUGCAAGUCGAACGGCAGCAUAGAGAGCUUGCUCUCUGAUGGCGAGUGGCGAACGGGUGAGUAAUAUAUCGGAACGUGCCUAGUAAUGGGGAAUAACUAGCUGAAAGGUUAGCUAAUGCCGCAUACGACCUACGGGUGAAAGCAGGGGAUCUUCGGACCUUGCGUUAUUAGAGCGGCCGAUAUCUGAUUAGCUUGUUGGUGGGGUAAUGGCCUACCAAGGCGACGAUCAGUAGCUGGUCUGAGAGGACGAUCAGCCACACUGGAACUGAGACACGGUCCAGACUCCUACGGGAGGCAGCAGUGGGGAAUUUUGGACAAUGGGGGCAACCCUGAUCCAGCCAUUCCGCGUGAGUGAAGAAGGCCUUCGGGUUGUAAAGCUCUUUCGCAAGAGAAGAAAACUUGCUAUCUAAUAAAUAGUAAGUAUGACGGUAUCUUGACAAGAAGCACCGGCUAACUACGUGCCAGCAGCCGCGGUAAUACGUAGGGUGCAAGCGUUAAUCGGAAUUACUGGGCGUAAAGCGUGCGCAGGCAGUUUUAUAAGUCAGAUGUGAAAUCCCCGAGCUCAACUUGGGAACUGCGUUUGAAACUAUAAGACUAGAGUGUGUCAGAGGGGGGUAGAAUUCCAAGUGUAGCAGUGAAAUGCGUAGAGAUUUGGAGGAAUACCAAUGGCGAAGG
rnacentral:rRNA from 1 species